rnacentral:rRNA from 1 species
UACGUAGGGUGCAAGCGUUGUCCGGAAUUAUUGGGCGUAAAGAGCUCGUGAGCGGUCUGUCGCGUCGGGCUGUGAAAUCCCGGAGCUCAACUCCGGGUCUGCAGUCGAUACGGGCAAACUGGAGUACUGCAGGGGAGACUGGAAUUCCUGGUGUAGCGGUGAAAUGCGCAGAUAUCAGGAGGAACACCGGUGGCGAAGGCGGGUCUCUGGGCAGUAACUGACGCUGAGGAGCGAAAGCGUGGGGAGCGAACAGG